AAUGUUGAAGAUUAAUGAGCGUGCCCUCGCUCUGUUACAGUGGUACAGAGAUUACCAUGUGCCACGUGGGAAGGAAGAGGCCAACAUUUUGAAGGAAAAGAAUAGUGUCUGAAGGUGAGUGAGAGGUACAGCUUUCCAGGUAUGGAAUGAGUAAGUCAUGGGGAUGAAAGACACGCCAUAGGGGAUACAGUCAAUGGUAUUAUAAUAGCAUUUUAUGGACAGAUGGUAGCUACACUUGCGGUGAGCAUAGCAUAACACAUGGAUUUGCUGAAUCACCAUGUACACCUGAAACCAAUGCAACAUUGCAUGUCAACUACUUCUAUUUAAAAAAAAAAAGAAAAGAAAAGAGAAAAGAAAGGAAAAGAAAAGAAAAGAAAGAAAAGAAAAGAAAAAAGAAAAGAAGAAAAGAAAAGAAAGAGAAAAGAAAAGAAAAGAAAAGAAAAGAAAAGAAAAGAAAAGAAAAGAAAGGAAAAGAAGAAAAGAAAAGAAGAGGAUAGGGUUCAGGAGCCAACAAGGGCCAGAAGGUAUCAGCUCCAUCCUUGAUACAAAAAUCCUUCUAGGAAAAAAGUUACUGAAAAACAUUUCCUGAAUUAUAUUCUCUGUUUACAGAAUGCUGGCCGUGUUAUAAAACCGGAUAGUCUUGCAUCUUCUGCAGAAGACAGCAGACAUGCAGGACCGCUCAGAAGUGUUUUGGUUUGUGUGUGUUUUUUCUCUUUUUAAGUUUGACAGUCUCGGGCAUUAAUGAGUUCGAUCUGCCUCUGUUUUGUGUGCUGAGAGCAAUUUCUGAACUCACGACUAGUGCAAGAGCACACACGAUUGAAUAAGCAUCGAGGGAUGGGAAGUAGGUGAGGAGGAUCUCAUGUGAUUCUCGCAGACCCUGGGGCACAGAGGAGUCUAUUCGAUAUAAGAAUUGCACGCACAGCACAUCGUUUCUCCAUCGGUCGUGUGCUCAGAGAGCAGCCCCAGCGCAGAAGCCUGGAACAGAUGGACAGACUGCGAGCGGAAAGACAGCAGGCCCUCUUCUGCUUUCCUUCAUCAGCCACGAAUUACACGGGAAUUGCCUGGCCUCAACUGACAUGCUCAGAGAAGGCUGUGCUGGGGGCCAACUCUGCCAUCAGGGCAUUGUAUGAAAAAGCUAAUUGGGAAAGACUAGAUUCUCUUUGGUUUGAUAGCUGCUGAUGUUUUGAUAUGUCCAGCGAGCCAUCUGCAACUACGAACUCCCUGCUGAGUGGCUGGCUGGGAGACAAAGAAAAGGAAAACAGCAAAGAAGUCACCAUGUGAUGUGAGCGGAGAGUUUUUGGCAGCCUGGCCGAACUCAGACCAUAAUCCUUUUCGGAAAUCAUUCUAAACCGGAAUUCUUCACAAUAAACAUGAAAUUAAAAGCA
rnacentral:lncRNA from 1 species